GAUGAACGCUAGCUACAGGCUUAACACAUGCAAGUCGAGGGGCAGCAUGAACUUAGCUUGCUAAGUUUGAUGGCGACCGGCGCACGGGUGAGUAACACGUAUCCAACCUUCCGUUUACUCAGGGAUAGCCUUUCGAAAGAAAGGAUUAAUACCUGAUAGUAUGGUGAGAUUGCAUGAUAACACCAUUAAAGAUUUAUUGGUAAACGAUGGGGAUGCGUUCCAUUAGGUAGUAGGCGGGGUAACGGCCCACCUAGCCUGCGAUGGAUAGGGGUUCUGAGAGGAAGGUCCCCCACAUUGGAACUGAGACACGGUCCAAACUCCUACGGGAGGCAGCAGUGAGGAAUAUUGGUCAAUGGGCGAGAGCCUGAACCAGCCAAGUAGCGUGAAGGAUGAAGGUCCUACGGAUUGUAAACUUCUUUUAUACGGGAAUAAAGUUUCCUACGUGUAGGAUUUUGUAUGUACCGUAUGAAUAAGCAUCGGCUAACUCCGUG
rnacentral:rRNA from 1 species